GAUGAACGCUAGCUACAGGCUUAACACAUGCAAGUCGCAGGGUAACAUGAGGAAAGCUUGCUUUCCUUGAUGACGACUGGCGCACGGGUGAGUAACGCGUAUCCAACCUUCCCAUAACUACGGGAUAACCCGUUGAAAGACGGCCUAAUACCGUAUGAUAUCGUUUGCUGACAUCAAAUAACGAUUAAAGGUUUAGCGGUUAUGGAUGGGGAUGCGUCUGAUUAGCUUGUUGGCGGGGUAACGGCCCACCAAGGCGACGAUCAGUAGGGGUUCUGAGAGGAAGGUCCUCCACAUUGGAACUGAGACACGGUCCAAACUCCUACGGGAGGCAGCAGUGAGGAAUAGUGGUCAAUGGGCGAGAGCCUGAACCAGCCAAGUAGCGUGCAGGACGACGGCCCUAUGGGUUGUAAACUGCUUUUAUGUGGGGAUAAAGUGCGUGACGUGUCAUGCAUUGCAGGUACCACAUGAAUAAGGACCGGCUAAUUCCGUG
rnacentral:rRNA from 1 species